rnacentral:tRNA from 1 species
GAAGGGGUGGCCGAGUGGCUGAAGGCGCUCGCCUGCUAAGCGAGUAAGCGGUUUAUCCCGCUUCGAGGGUUCGAAUCCCUCCCCCUUCG